rnacentral:lncRNA from 1 species
AUGAGUGUGGCGUCCAGGGGGUUUAGACGGCAAAGCCCCGCCAAGAGAAGAAGGGAGAUGCCGACCACAUCGAAUACCGUUGAGGGACCGAGUGGGAGGAGGAGGAAACACCGUUCACUGACUUCAGCCUCGUACUUGCCGUUGGAGGCUUUAAUAAGCCCGAGUGGAAGAGCUUUCAGGAAGGAUGAGUCGUGCCAGGGAAACAGCAAGUGUAACGCUUUGCCAUGUGAGAUGAUUCGAGAUACAGAUGCUGCCCAAUUUCUACCAUCUCAUUAAAUUUAUGUUAUCUCUACUGGACUAUGGAAAUGUGGCAGCAGCGCCUGAUUGUCAAGACUGCACAUCUCCCUUCCACAGCUUCAGGAAAGUGAGACAAGGACGCUAUUAACUGAGCAGAGAAAGCAGGGUUAAGGUUCUCUAUUUGUGAAGAGAUGCAGGAGAACGAUGGAUAGAGACCACUCCGGAGCCAGACUGUCCUGGUUGAAUUCUGGUUCCACCAACACGAACCCCCUGACCUCUCAUGGAUCAUUCUACCUCCUGGGACCUCAGGUCUCUUACUUUUCAGUUGGGAAUGAUAAUAAAAUCUUGUAGAGUUGUGAGGAUUGAAUGAUU